CUUUGAGUAUUAAGCCAGAAAGGAGUCGCCUUUACGCGCGUCCCCCUCUGUCAAAGUACGAACCCGCUGGACAUACGCGUUAUAUAAAACUGUUUCUCGACCCUUCCGCGCCAUUCCGGUAUGACGCUUGUUAGUGUAAAGAGCUCCGACAAAAAUGACUGGAUGCAGUGUAUUCGGCUGUAAAAAAAGGUCUGACACAUCGAGUGUACAAAAAGACAACGUGACAUUUCAUCUAUUUCCAAAAGACCCUAUCCGUCGACAACAAUGGAUAAAAGCUUGUGAAAAUCACAGAACAUGGCUACCCAAACGUACAAGUAAAGUUUGCUCCGAUCAUUUUGAUACGUCAUGUUUCUUGUUGCUGGCUAACAACAAAAGAAAAUUAAAGGAAUCAGCAACACCUACAUUGAAUAAUAUUCCUAUUAAUAAAUUUUAUCGACAUUCCUUAUCGACAUGGUGGUAGCUCUAAUUAUCUCGGGAUUGUUGCGUAUGUGUGCUGUACAUGUAACGUGUAAAGAUACGAUUUUUUUUAAUGUGUGCGUUGCGGUUACUCUUGUGUAAGCAAAUUAGGUUUGUUUGCGUGUGUACAAACAUUGUGCAAUUUGUUUCUGUAGUAAAAUUUUGUCUGUGUGAGUGCCUCGUCCCCCGCCGAUGUUUUGGCAGAAAAAUUAAUUAGCAUCGUUCGAGUGAUGGCGUCUCCUUUCUGGCUUAAUACUCAAAGU